UACGUAGGGUGCAAGCGUUGUCCGGAAUUAUUGGGCGUAAAGAGCUCGUAGGCGGUUUGUCGCGUCUGCUGUGAAAACUCGGGGCUUAACCUCGGGCCUGCGGUGGAUACGGGCGGACUAGAGGUAGGUAGGGGAGAAUGGAAUUCCCGGUGUAGCGGUGAAAUGCGCAGAUAUCGGGAGGAACACCGGUGGCGAAGGCGGUUCUCUGGGCCUUACCUGACGCUGAGGAGCGAAAGCGUGGGGAGCGAACAGG
rnacentral:rRNA from 1 species